rnacentral:rRNA from 1 species
AGUGAACGCUGGCGGUAGGCCUAACACAUGCAAGUCGAACGGCAGCACAGUAAGAGCUUGCUCUUACGGGUGGCGAGUGGCGGACGGGUGAGGAAUACAUCGGAAUCUACUUUUUCGUGGGGGAUAACGUAGGGAAACUUACGCUAAUACCGCAUACGACCUACGGGUGAAAGCAGGGGAUCUUCGGACCUUGCGCGAUUGAAUGAGCCGAUGUCGGAUUAGCUAGUUGGCGGGGUAAAGGCCCACCAAGGCGACGAUCCGUAGCUGGUCUGAGAGGAUGAUCCGCCACACUGGAACUGAGACACGGUCCAGACGCCUACGGGAGGCAGCAGUGGGGAAUAUUGGACAAUGGGCGCAAGCCUGAUCCAGCCAUACCGCGUGGGUGAAGAAGGCCUUCGGGUUGUAAAGCCCUUUUGUUGGGAAAGAAAAGCAGCAGGUUAAUACCCCGCUGUUCUGACGGUACCCAAAGAAUAAGCACCGGCUAACUUCGUG